rnacentral:rRNA from 1 species
AUUGAACGCUGGCGGCAUGCCUUACACAUGCAAGUCGAACGGCAGCGCGGGAGCAAUCCUGGCGGCGAGUGGCGAACGGGUGAGUAAUACAUCGGAACGUGCCCAAUCGUGGGGGAUAACGCAGCGAAAGCUGUGCUAAUACCGCAUACGAUCUACGGAUGAAAGCAGGGGAUCUCAAGACCUUGCGCGAAUGGAGCGGCCGAUGGCACAUUAGGUAGUUGGUGGGGUAAAGGCUCACCCAGCCUCCGAUGUGUAGCUGGUCUGAGAGGACGACCAGCCACACUGGGGCUGAGACACGGCCCAGACUCCUACGGGAGGCAGCAGUGGGGAAUUUUGGACAAUGGGCGAAAGCCUGAACCAGCCAUGCCGCGUGCAGGAUGAAGGCCUUCGGGUUGUAAACUGCUUUUGUACGGAACGAAACGGUCUUUUCUAAAAAAGAAGGCUAAUGAGGGUACCGUAAGAAUAAGCACCGGCUAACUACGU